UACGUAGGGUGCAAGCGUUGUCCGGAAUUAUUGGGCGUAAAGAGCGUGUAGGCGGCCCGAUUAGUCCGCUGUGAAAGUCCAGGGCUCAACCCUGGAAUGCCGGUGGAUACUGUCGGGCUAGAGUCCGGAAGGGGCGAGUGGAAUUCCUGGUGUAGCGGUGAAAUGCGCAGAUAUCAGGAGGAACACCAAUGGCGAAGGCAGCUCGCUGGGACGUGACUGACGCUGAGAUGCGAAAGCGUGGGGAGCAAACAGG
rnacentral:rRNA from 1 species